CUAGUAGCGGCGAGCGAAGCGGGAAGAGCUCAAAUUUAUAAUCUGGCACCUUCGGUGUCCGAGUUGUAAUCUCUAGAAAUGUUUUCCGCGUUGGACCGCACACAAGUCUGUUGGAAUACAGCGGCAUAGUGGUGAGACCCCCGUAUAUGGUGCGGACGCCCAGCGCUUUGUGAUACAUUUUCGAAGAGUCGAGUUGUUUGGGAAUGCAGCUCAAAUUGGGUGGUAAAUUCCAUCUAAAGCUAAAUAUUGGCGAGAGACCGAUAGCGAACAAGUACCGUGAGGGAAAGAUGAAAAGCACUUUGGAAAGAGAGUUAACAGUACGUGAAAUUGUUGGAAGGGAAACGCUUGAAGUCAGACUUGCUUGCCGAGCAAUCGGUUUGCAGGCCAGCAUCAGUUUUCCGGGAUGGAUAAUGGUAGAGAGAAGGUAGCAGUUUCGGCUGUGUUAUAGCUCUCUGCUGGAUACAUCUUGGGGGACUGAGGAACGCAGUGUGCCUUUGGCGGGGGUUUCGACCUCUUCACACUUAGGAUGC
rnacentral:rRNA from 1 species